AGAGUUUGAUCCUGGCUCAGAGCGAACGCUGGCGGCAGGCCUAACACAUGCAAGUCGAGCGGCCGUAGCAAUACGGCAGCGGCAGACGGGAGAGUAACACGUGGGAACGCGCCCUUCGGUUCGGAAUAACUCAGGGAAACUUGGGCUAAUACCGGAUACGCCCUUACGGGGAAAGAUUUAUUGCCGAAGGAACGGCCCGCGUCCGAUUAGCUAGUUGGUGAGGUAAUGGCUCACCAAGGCGACGAUCGGUAGCUGGUCUGAGAGGAUGACCAGCCUCACUGGGACUGAGACACGGCCCAGACUCCUACGGGAGGCAGCAGUGGGGAAUAUUGGACAAUGGGCGCAAGCCUGAUCCAGCCAUGCCGCGUGGAUGAUGAAGGCCUUAGGGUUGUAAAGUCCUUUCAGCGGGGAAGAUAAUGACGGUACCCGCAGNAAGAAGCCCCGGCUAACUUCGUGCCAGGCAGCCGCGGUUAAUACGAAGGGGGCUAGCGUUGCUCGGAAUUACUGGGCGUAAAGCGCACGUAGGCGGCUCUUUAAGUCGGGGGUGAAAUCCUGGGAGCUCAACUCCAGAACUGGCUUCGAUACUGAAGAGCUCGAGUCCGGGGANGAGGUGAGUGGAACUGCNANNUGUAGAGGUGAAAUUCGUAGUAUAUUCGCAAGGAACACCCGUGGGCGAAGGCGGCCCACUGGCCCGGGUACUGACCGCUGAGGUGCGANAGCGGUGGGG
rnacentral:rRNA from 1 species